rnacentral:tRNA from 1 species
GGAGAGGUGCCAGAGCGGCUGAAUGGGCCGGUCUCGAAAACCGGUAUCGGGUUAACGCUCGAUCGAGGGUUCAAAUCCCUCCCUCUCCGCCA